CGACAGAGUUCCGACCGUCGCGGCGCCCUCGGGCGUCGCUCGCGGGAGGAACGCUUUUAUUAGAUCAAAACCGGCCCGUCGCGGCGCGCUUCGUGCGCGUCCCGAUCGCGGCCCGCGCAAAGACCUGGUGACUCUGAAUAACUUCGAGCUGAUCGCACGGUCUCCGUACCGGCGACGCAUCUUUCAAAUGUCUGCCUUAUCAACUGUCGAUGGUAGGUUCCAUGCCUACCAUGGUGGUAACGGGUAACGGGGAAUCAGGGUUCGAUUCCGGAGAGGGAGCCUGAGAAACGGCUACCACAUCCAAGGAAGGCAGCAGGCGCGCAAAUUACCCACUCCCGGAACGGGGAGGUAGUGACGAAAAAUAACGAUACGGGACUCAUCCGAGGCCCCGUAAUCGGAAUGAGAACACUUUAAAACCUUUAAACGAGGAUCAAUUGGAGGGCAAGUCUGGUGCCAGCAGCCGCGGUAAUUCCAGCUCCAAUAGCGUAUAUUAAAGUUGUUGCGGUUAAAAAGCUCGUAGUCGGAUCUGUGUCUGGACGGUGCCGGACCACCCUGGCGGUCCGUCGUGUCGCGGCCGGCCGUGUCGCGGGACCACGUGUCCCGUCGGCGCGGUCGCCGUCGCGCUCGUCAGCCGUCUCGGGGUGUUAGUUACCGGCACGUCGGCCGGACGUAUUGUCGGCAGGCGGACACGUGUCUCGUGCUUCCGGCGCGCCGCGCGGCCACGCGUCGCGCGGCCGUCGGUGUUCGACGACGGCGGGCCGCCUACUCCAAUCUUGCUGCGCGGUGCUCUUCACCGAGUGCCGUCGGCGGGCCCGACACGUUUACUUUGAACAAAUUAGAGUGCUCAAAGCAGCUCGAAUCUGGGCGGGGGCGGCUUCACGGCCCGUCUCGUCAAAGGGCCCUGAAUACUGGUCGCA
rnacentral:ncRNA from 1 species